rnacentral:rRNA from 1 species
CAACUCUCAGCAACGGAUAUCUUGGCUCUUGCAACGAUGAAGAACGCAGCGAAAUGCGAUACGUAGUGUGAAUUGCAGAAUUCCGCGAAUCAUCGAGUCUUUGAACGCAAGUUGCGCCCGAGGCUCGACCAAGGGCAUCCCUGCCAGAGCGUCACCG